AUUUAGAACCCGGGUAGAGAGAAGAGAGAGAUAGUGCUGAGAGACAGACAGAGAGGCCGAUUACGAUGGUUCCGCCGGUGUUACAACCUUCUCGCCGGCGUCAAUAACACUUGACAACGACGUUUUGAUCAUUGUGGUGGCCGCGAACAUGGUUUGUAUCGGAGAGCGACGAGGUAUGUUCGAUCAGAUGCUGCCAUACCUCUGACAAUGACGACGGUCAAGCGGUUAGGGUUUCCAUCAACUUCCGAUCUGAUGAGUAAGUAACGUCUGGUGAGGUUCCGGUGAACGGCAAGGAGAAGAUUUCAGUGAACGGGUGGAGUUAAGAAUUGAUGGUGGACCAAUGAAGAUUGAUCAGGUUUAGUUGGUAAGAGUGGGUCGAAAUGGAAGUUAUGGAGGAGUUCUUCGGUGUAAAUCGAUUCAGGUUGGAAAGGGUUUAAAGGGAAGUACAGGGGAGUGGGAUCAGAUGGUCGCAUUCGAGAUAAUAUCCCCUGUGCAGAAAAGGCAACAAGCAUCAGAGGAAGUUUUCUGACAUGUUUGGAUCUCCAUGGACUGAUGAUGAAGUUGAGCGCUUCUAUAAAGCUUAUAUGCAGUGUGAAAAAGACUGGAAGAAGAUGCAUAGAUCUUCAGACUUCAGAACCUGAUUUACUGUAAUUUGUGGAAUACACUAGAAUUAAGGAAAUGACAAACUUCAAAGACUGGCAUAUUUUUUAUAUUAACUGAACCAAUAUUUUUUUUGCUCUGGCCGAGUUGCAUACAUGCAGUAGAAAAAGGUAUAUGUGCUUGUAAGUUGUAUGUUUUCCAUUUCUAUUUUAACUUUGUAAGUUAUAAACUUAUGAUAAAUGAUUCUUCACAAAUUUCACUUGAUGCAAUUUAUGUUUGUAUUCGAACUUUUGGCAGGAGAGUGGGUUAGAGUUUAGAAAAGGUAAAGGGGAAAUUUGUUACCAAGAGGAAACACUUUUCCCAUAUUUUUCUCCUUUCUUCGCUUAUUUCGAGUAACAAGGUUAGGUUUAUAGGGUUUUAUUAUUCUCUUAGAAAUAUACAUAAAACUAUUUUAAUAUCUUGAAUAAGGGCGUUAGAAAUUUUUAAAAUUUCCAAUUCGACGAACUGGUGGGUCGACAAGAACCCCAUGUAAUCAGGAUACUCAAUUCUCACAAUGCGCGCCAUAAAGAAGUUUUUUUGAUUUGGGAUCCACUAUGAUUUGAAUAUACAAAUUUCAGCAAAUAACCAACUUUUAUCUAAAAUAUUUGUUAGAUGUUAGGAGUCGAUUAUUUGGUGUUAAAUUUAGAAGGUUUUGUUAAUUGUUGCAGUAUUUUGAGCUUUCUUGAUUCUCCAUUUGAAGAGAGCUAAGGAUUUGCACAGUUUGUGAGUUGAUUAAAUUGAGCAGUGACUGGUGUUUUUGUUGAUUAUGAUUAGAAGAAUUGCCGUAUGGAGAGGCGAGAUUGAAUAGCUGAACUAACAUGGCGGAGUAAGAAGAUGCCGUACAGUUAAUGGUGCGCAAAUCAUAAACAGAAUAGGCGCAACAGGUUCUUCACCAGCCCAGCUGCAGCAGGAGAAAACCUUGAGACCGUUUUUUUCGUUUAAAUGAUAAAUUGUAUGUGGUUAACGUUUGAUUAUUGUAUAUUAUAUAACAGUUAUUGAAUACUUUGUUGUUUUAUAUGUGUGGUGCUCCUGAAUAACUUUUGUUGGACGCCUGACGAUAUGUUGGUACCUUUUUGCCAUGAAAAUAGAAGACUAAAAUUUUGGGAGAUCAAUUGAGUACUUUCUUAGCAUUUGAUGUGUUUGUUUAUGUUCUUCGACUAGCCGUGGCUAUGAGAUACCGUGGUUGGAGAAGUUCCACUGACAAAGGCCGAAGGGAAACACAACGCUUAAAUCGUUAACAAAAACCAUGAAGCGCGGCGCAACGCGCGCGGGGGAAAACCCUAGUUAUUACAAUUAGCUAACAACAAAGUCAUUAACUUGUACGGAAAUUAACCAUUUUGCUAGUUAAGCUUAACAAAAUUACUAUUUAUCAAAAUCCGUCACCACUACUUAUUUGACAUAUAGUCAUAUAGAUGAUAUGAAAAUACUGGUAUAACUAGUAGAUUUUAUGUUAAAUAAGAAAUU
rnacentral:lncRNA from 1 species